GACGAACGCUGGCGGCGUGCUUAACACAUGCAAGUCGAACGAAGAGCGAUGGAAGCUUGCUUCUAUCAAUCUUAGUGGCGAACGGGUGAGUAACGCGUAAUCAACCUGCCCUUCAGAGGGGGACAACAGUUGGAAACGACUGCUAAUACCGCAUACGAUCUAAUCUCGGCAUCGAGGAUAGAUGAAAGGUGGCCUCUACAUGUAAGCUAUCACUGAAGGAGGGGAUUGCGUCUGAUUAGCUAGUUGGAGGGGUAACGGCCCACCAAGGCGAUGAUCAGUAGCCGGUCUGAGAGGAUGAACGGCCACAUUGGGACUGAGACACGGCCCAGACUCCUACGGGAGGCAGCAGUGGGGAAUCUUCCGCAAUGGACGAAAGUCUGACGAAGCAACGCCGCGUGAGUGAUGACGGCCUUCGGGUUGUAAAGCUCUGUUAAUCGGGACGAAAGGCCUUCUUGCGAAUAGUGAGAAGGAUUGACGGUACCGGAAGAGAAAGCCACGGCUAACUACGUG
rnacentral:rRNA from 1 species